GUGCCAGCAGCCGCGGUAAUACAGAGGGUGCGAGCGUUAAUCGGAUUUACUGGGCGUAAAGCGUGCGUAGGCGGCUUUUUAAGUCGGAUGUGAAAUCCCCGAGCUUAACUUGGGAAUUGCAUUCGAUACUGGGAAGCUAGAGUAUGGGAGAGGAUGGUAGAAUUCCAGGUGUAGCGGUGAAAUGCGUAGAGAUCUGGAGGAAUACCGAUGGCGAAGGCAGCCAUCUGGCCUAAUACUGACGCUGAGGUACGAAAGCAUGGGGAGCAAACAGGAUUAGAUACCCUGGUAGUCCAUGCCGUAAACGAUGUCUACUAGCCGUUGGGGCCUUUGAGGCUUUAGUGGCGCAGCUAACGCGAUAAGUAGACCGCCUGGGGAGUACGGUCGCAAGACUAAAACUCAAAUGAAUUGACGGGGGCCCGCACAAGCGGUGGAGCAUGUGGUUUAAUUCGAUGCAACGCGAAGAACCUUACCUGGCCUUGACAUACUAGAAACUUUCCAGAGAUGGAUUGGUGCCUUCGGGAAUCUAGAUACAGGUGCUGCAUGGCUGUCGUCAGCUCGUGUCGUGAGAUGUUGGGUUAAGUCCCGCAACGAGCGCAACCCUUUUCCUUACUUGCCAGCAUUUCGGAUGGGAACUUUAAGGAUACUGCCAGUGACAAACUGGAGGAAGGCGGGGACGACGUCAGUCAUCAUGGCCCUUACGGCCAGGGCUACACACGUGCUACAAUGGUCGGUACAAAGGGUGCUACCUAGCGAUAGGAUGCUGAUCUCAAAAGCCGAUCGUAGUCCGGAUUGAGUCUGCAACUCGACUCCAUGAAGUCGGAAUCCGCUAGUAA
rnacentral:rRNA from 1 species